UAGGGAAUCUUCGGCAAUGGACGAAAGUCUGACCGAGCAACGCCGCGUGAGUGAAGAAGGUUUUCGGAUACGUAAACUCUGUUGGUAGAGAAGAACGUUGGUGAGAGUGGAAAGCUCAUCAAGUGACGGUAACUACCCAGAAAGGGACGGCUAACUACGUGCCGG
rnacentral:rRNA from 1 species